rnacentral:rRNA from 1 species
CCUACGGGUGGCAGCAGUGAGGAAUAUUGGUCAAUGGACGAGAGUCUGAACCAGCCAAGUAGCGUGAAGGAUGACUGCCCUAUGGGUUGUAAACUUCUUUUAUAAGGGAAUAAAACGAGGCACGUGUGCCUUUUUGCAUGUACUUUAUGAAUAAGGAUCGGCUAACUCCGUUCCAGCAGCCGCGGUAAUACGGAGGAUCCGAGCGUUAUCCGGAUUUAUUGGGUUUAAAGGGAGCGUAGAUGGGUUGUUAAGUCAGUUGUGAAAGUUUGCGGCUCAACCGUAAAAGUGCAAUUGAUACUGGCAGUCGUGAGUACAGUUGAGGUAGGCGGAAUUCGUGGUGUAGCGGUGAAAUGCUUAGAUAUCACGAAGAAACCCGAUUGCGAAGGCAGCUUACUAAACUGUGACUGACAUUGAUGCUCGAAAGUGUGGGUAUCAAACAGGAUUAGAUACCCGGGUAGUC